rnacentral:lncRNA from 1 species
UGACAGUUGAAAAAACAAAAUACCAACAAGAAGAAAAUAGACGACCUACCGUGGUAUAAGGUGGUGACAGUGUAGACUAGCAAGAAGGGGUGGUUGAAAUUUCCUUUCUCUCGGCGUAGGGGCAAAUUUGAUUCUGUUUCUUGUAUCAACUUUGUCUUUGAAUUUGUAUCCUCUGGCUCAGAGUUAUGCAAUUAAGAUCUGAUUUUAUGGUUGCUGAAGGUUUUAUUGGGCGUACUAAGAAUGCUCAUCACACGCACAUAUGCAAU